ACGUAGGGAGCGAGCGUUGUCCGGAAUUACUGGGCGUAAAGGGCGCGUAGGCGGGUAUUUAAGUCAGAUGUGAAAAUCCCAGGCUCAACUUGGGAACUGCAUUUGAAACUGGGUAUCUUGAGGGCAGGAGAGGAAAGUGGAAUUCCUAGUGUAGCGGUGAAAUGCGUAGAUAUUAGGAGGAACACCAGUGGCGAAGGCGACUUUCUGGACUGUACCUGACGCUGAUGCGCGAAAGCGUGGGGAGCGAACGG
rnacentral:rRNA from 1 species